rnacentral:lncRNA from 1 species
GAUGAUUUUGCUUGUGUUUGGUUUUUCUACUUGUUUUUGUUUUUUAUGACUUUUUAUUGGAUAAUCUUACUUGUGUUUGGUUUUUCUUACUUGUUUUUGUUUUUCAUGCUGUGUCGGUUCUUCUUUUUCCGUUUGAUGACUUUAUCUCGAUUCUUCUUUUUUACGUUUGGUUAAUUUGUGUCGUUCUUUGGUUCUUCUUUUUCCGAUGUCGAUUCCUUUUUCAUUUGUUAUGGUGUAUCCUUCUCUUCUUCUUCUUCUUCAAGUUCUUUUUGCUUUCUUUCUAAAUGUUUCUAUAGUUCCGAGACCACCUAUUCCAACAUCGCAAAAUAAUCUCCAUGACAUCAAAUCUUGUCCAAGUUUUUGGGAAAAUACAAAUAGACACAAAUUGAGGGAGCUCUCCGUCCCCCAUCUUCCAUGUCAUAUAUGUAUGUAUGUUGCUAGGCAGCACACCAAUCCAAACAGUUUUAAACGAAGACCUCCAUAUCUGUCAUAUGAAUUCCAAACUAAAGUUUCCGGCGUACACAAGUAAUCGUAUGUAGCAAAAUUUUACAAUGUGUUACAUCUAGAGUAGAAAGUUACUACAGAAAAAACAACUUUGUUGCUUAGAAAAUCAUAAUAAGUUAGAAACAAAAAAAAAAAAAAAAAAAAAAAAAAAAAAAAAAAAAAACCAAUGUUGCUCAAAAAUAAAACCAUUAACUUCCACCAACUUAAAACGAAUACUAACCAAUGUCAAAGCGAUUGAACUCAAAUUACUCGAAUUGCAUGUUUCUAAAAUGCAAUAACAGCAUAAAUAUUAUAACAUAAAUAGAGACAAACGAAAUGUUAUUCUUGAACGUAAGUAAGGCUGUUGCUUUUAUUUAACAACAAAUGUUAUAAAUUGAUAAUACUGUAUAUACUUUAUAUAAAGUAACAACUAGGAUUUUGAAACCCAAAAAAAAAAUAAAAUGAUACCUAAACGUAAUUUUGACAUAAAUAUUACAAAUAAAUAAUUAGACAUUAACUAUGGAUAGGAUGGAUUAAAAGUUUGUGUUAAUCUACUUAUCAAACACGCCAAAUGAUUUUUUUUUAAUGUGUUCCCUGACAAAAUACCCAACUUUAACCCUGAACCCGUUAAGAAAUCAUCUAAUUUUGAUAUAUCAAUUUUGAGGAGCAUUUGUUAGUUGUCAGGAACACUGACUGCAUUGUAUCGUUAAUUCAGUAUUACAUUAGAAAAAAGUUAAUGGACGAAAAUAAAAGAUUGCAAAAGUUACAGAUUGAGGAUGAGAUAUUGUUACCUUGGAGAAGGCUUACGAACCAACAACACGAGAAUCAGUGAAUACAGGUUCAGAAGGAAUUUCGGAGAGAACGAAAAAAUAAGGGUUUGGUGAAG